UCUUACGGUGCCUGAUUUAAAAAAAUCUUACGGUGCCUGAUUUAAUCAGCUCUCAGAAGCCAUCCAGACUUGGACCUGGUUAGUACUUGUAUGGGAGAUCAACUAGGAACUUCAGGUGCUGUGAGCU